GUCCCUUCGGGGACAUCCGAUAAAAUUGGAACGAUACAGAGAAGAUUAGCAUGGCCCCUGCGCAAGGAUGACACGCAUAUAUGAAAAGUCACGUUUAUGAUUUUU